UACGUAGGGUGCGAGCGUUGUCCGGAAUUAUUGGGCGUAAAGAGCUCGUAGGCGGUCUGUCGCGUCUGCUGUGAAAACUCAGGGCUUAACCCUGAGCUUGCAGUGGGUACGGGCAGACUAGAGUGCGGUAGGGGAGACUGGAAUUCCUGGUGUAGCGGUGAAAUGCGUAGAUAUCGAGAGGAACACCUGCGGCGAAGGCGGGUUGCUGGGCUGACAUUGACGCUGAGGCACGAAAGCGUGGGGAUCAAACAGG
rnacentral:rRNA from 1 species